AGUGAACGCUGGCGGUAGGCCUAACACAUGCAAGUCGAACGGCAGCACAGUAAGAGCUUGCUCUUACGGGUGGCGAGUGGCGGACGGGUGAGGAAUACAUCGGAAUCUACUUUUUCGUGGGGGAUAACGUAGGGAAACUUACGCUAAUACCGCAUACGACCUACGGGUAAAAGCAGGGGAUCUUCGGACCUUGCGCGAUUGAAUGAGCCGAUGUCGGAUUAGCUAGUUGGCGGGGUAAAGGCCCACCAAGGCGACGAUCCGUAGCUGGUCUGAGAGGAUGAUCAGCCACACUGGAACUGAGACACGGUCCAGACUCCUACGGGAGGCAGCAGUGGGGAAUAUUGGACAAUGGGCGCAAGCCUGAUCCAGCCAUACCGCGUGGGUGAAGAGGGCCUUCGGGUUGUAAAGCCCUUUUGUUGGGAAAGAAAAGCAGCAGGUUAAUACCCCGCUGUUCUGACGGUACCCAAAGAAUAAGCACCGGCUAACUUCGUG
rnacentral:rRNA from 1 species